GACAGAGGGUGCAAGCGUUAUCCGGAAUGAUUGGGCGUAAAGCGUCUGUAGGUGGCUUUUAAGUCCGCCGUCAAAUCCCAGGGCUCAACUCUGGACAGGCGGUGGAAACUACCAAGCUGGAGUACGGUAGGGGCAGAGGGAAUUUCCGGUGGAGCGGUGAAAUGCGUAGAGAUCCGGAGGAACCCCAGAGGCGAAGGCGGCGCCCUGGCUCGCAACUGACGCUCAGACACGACAGCAUGGGGAGCGAACGGG
rnacentral:rRNA from 1 species